rnacentral:rRNA from 1 species
GACGAACGCUGGCGGCGUGCCUAAUACAUGCAAGUCGAACGCAUUUUCUUUCACCGUAGCUUGCUACACCGAGAGAAAAGGAGGGGCGAACGGUUAAUUAACAGGUCUUUAACCUGCCCAUCAUCGAGGGAUAACACGCGGAAACAGGUUCUAAGACCGCAUAAUUCCAUUUACCGCGGGGUGUUUAGGUGAAAGGCGCUUUUGCGUCGCUUUUUCAGGUAGCUGCGGUGGUUGAGCUAGAUGGUGGGGUAGCGGCCUAUCAAGGCUGGGAUGCAUAGCGGACCGGCGAGGACGGUCAGCCAGACUGGGAGUGAGACACGGCACAGAGGCACACGGGAGGCAGCCGUAGGGAAUCUUGGGCAAGCGGCGGAAGACUGAGCGCGAAACGCCGCGGGCGUGAGGAAGGUCUUCGGGUCGUAAAUCUCUGUUGUCGGAUAAGAAACAGGAUGCGACUGGAAAGUUCCUUGCUUGACGGUAUCUAAUCAGAAAGCAACGGCUAACUACGUG